rnacentral:rRNA from 1 species
AUUGAACGCUGGCGGCAUGCCUUACACAUGCAAGUCGAACGGUAACAGGUCUUCGGAUGCUGACGAGUGGCGAACGGGUGAGUAAUACAUCGGAACGUGCCCGAUCGUGGGGGAUAACUACUCGAAAGAGUAGCUAAUACCGCAUACGAUCUACGGAUGAAAGCGGGGGAUCUUCGGACCUCGUGCGGACGGAGCGGCCGAUGGCAGAUUAGGUAGUUGGUGGGAGAAAAGCUUACCAAGCCGACGAUCUGUAGCUGGUCUGAGAGGACGACCAGCCACACUGGGACUGAGACACGGCCCAGACUCCUACGGGAGGCAGCAGUGGGGAAUUUUGGACAAUGGGCGAAAGCCUGAUCCAGCAAUGCCGCGUGCAGGAUGAAGGCCUUCGGGUUGUAAACUGCUUUUGUACGGAACGAAAAGACUCCUUCUAAUACAGGGGGUCCAUGACGGUACCGUAAGAAUAAGCACCGGCUAACUACGUGCCAGCCGCCGCCGUAAUAC